CUGCAUCUGAGUUGAGCCUUUCCUCCUUUUCUUCCUUUUCUUCCUUUUUCCCCUCCUCUAAUUAUUUCCUCUGUUGACUCUCACUUUGGUUUUGAAUUUCUGCUUUGGAUUACCACUCUGACUUUGAAACCUUAAGGUACUCUCCCUGUAUGGCAUAGUAGGAACUGAAUGUGGGUUUCAUACCAUCUCAUGACUGAAGACAAAGUUUGUGAUGCAAAUCAGACUCAUAUCAGCAUAUAAGUACAAAACAAUGGCACAAAUAUCCUGGCUAAACACAUAAGCUGUAACUCCUGUGACAGAUGAUCUUCUUAUAUCAGCCAAUACACUCAUGUAGCCUGCACUACUUUGUAUAUUCCAUAGUUGUUUCCUUCCUGCUAGAUGUGCCUUUUUGCUAUAAGAAUGUCCUUUAUCCUAAGUGUACUGUUAACAUUAAAAAUAUUUUUACACUGUCCACAUAACCAAGAAUUAUUAACACUAUAUUCCAAGGGAAGUAAAUACUAGAAUUUAAUUUAUUUCUGUUUAUUAGUCACCACUUUUUUAUAGCUAGUCUGUUAUUCCCAAAUACACUCUGUUUCAAGAUGCAGGGCUAUUCUAGAAGAUAGUUGCAACCAGCAAAGUAGCAUGGAAGGAAAGUAUCUGUUUGCCUUGAAGACACAGAGAUUUUAGUUUUUCCAUACUUGGAUCCUUCUGAGUGAUCAGUACCACAGGCCAAAGGAAGAAUACUUAGUAGAAAAAGGACAGAGUGGUACUUCCCAGAACAACAGUACUCAGAACAGUACCCUACCUACCUGAGUCAGAGGUGGGUUGUCUUGUACAAUGUUGUAUGAUGUUGUACAACCAUCUUUAGCAGUCUUAAAGAAAACAACAACACAUGUCUGGAAAUAAAAACCAAGAGGCUGUGCUGUUCUUGCUGAUUCUGAUUUUAAGAGAGGAUUAGAGAAGCUCCUCCAGCUCCCCAAAGGCUGCAGCAGGGGAGCCUGGCGUCACUUCACUUUGGAGAAAGACUUUGUGUUUUGCUUCCCUCCUCCGGUCCCGAUGCCCAGACCCUGGGAGAGCGCGGACCACGCUCCUGCUCGAAGAUGGAGGUCACCCUGGGACCGGAUCCACAGAGAUGCAGUCCAGGCCUCAUAAAAUCAAGGAAGAAAAAUGUGCCUUUGGGCACUGCAUUUAACCAGCUUCCCAAACUCACCUAGGAGAAAUUGUGGGUGCAGUUUGCUGUGAGGUUGUCCUCUGCCAGUCCAUCUCAUUUGGUGCAGAUAUUUAACUUUCUGUAAAGUUUUACAUUAUACAAUUUACAUUGUAAGAGGGGUGCCUUUAUAAACAUUGGAUGCACAGACCUUCUGAAAACUAGCUGCUGGCCACUGCCAGGGAACGAACCACCCACAUGCUCUAGUAUUUGCUCAUCCUUACGAAGGAGAGGAGUAUGUUGAUCUUCCUGUGCAGACAUUCUGGUGUCAGCCUAAUAGAGAUGUAGCUAUGUCUCUGUCAUGAUAUUAGUCUCACGAAAAGCAGCAAGCAUAAAGCAUAGGCAAGACCUUACUUUUAUGUUAUUAGUACUAAAUAUGUGAAAAUGUGUGCUCUCACUGGGGCGGGAAUAGUAUUUUCAAAGAACUUUUUUUUUUUUCUUUUUUGCUAAGGCUUAUUUUAUUAAAAUAAUGAUACUACAAUUAAAAGCAUAAUUAUCAAACUAAGCUGUUUUUGUGUAUGAAAAAUAACACAAUUUAAAGGAUUAAAGUUAGAAACAAUUAUGCUAUCAUGAGGCAGAGGGUUAUUCAAGCCAACUCAGCUAUAUUGUUAAAUCCAACAAAAGCCAUGACACAAAUUAAAAUAAGACAGUGCUAAAACAGAUGUAAAAUAACUGAGAAGCUUCAAACAGGGAAAUCUGGAGAACACAGGCAAAACACUUUAUAUUUUAAAAAGAAAGAAAGAAAAAAAAAAAAAAAAAAGAGGAAAGAAAGUAUUACCAUAGCAAGCAAUAGUGGAAUCUGCCUCCAGAGUGUUUGGGAGAUGGCUGUGAUGCUAGCUUGUAUGCAGAAAUCUUAAACACAGGAACCUACCUGUCAGAUCAGACCCAAGACACAUUUUUACUGGAACUUGUUUCUAUCCAAGGCCAAUAAUAUUUGCAUCAGAGGAAGGUGGAGCUCCCUUUCUGCUCAACCCUGACAGCGUGCCCCUUCAAGACCUCAAUAAUUGUAAAACAUUUUUUUUCCUUGCUCAUAGUAGCUGGCAUAUAAUCUGUAGUAUGAUAGACCAUCCAGUCACCAAGUAUUUAUUAUUUUUAAGUAUUUUUUUCAUAUCUGAGUAUUUUAUGUUCCUUAUG